rnacentral:rRNA from 1 species
AAUGGUUUAGGCCAUGGCGUACGGGUGAGUAAUAGGCUAAUAUCUAGCCCCAACUUUGGGAUAAUCCUAUCCCUGAGGGGAGAAAGUAAUGGGAAAAUACCAAAUAGUUAUAAAGGUACGCCGGUUGGGGAUGAUUAGGCCCAGUAUUAGGUAGUUGGUAGGGUAAGGCUUACCAAGCCGUUGAUGCUUAGUUGGUCUGGUAGGACGAUCAAUCACACUGGGACUGAGACAAGGCCCAGGUUUCAUUUGAAGGCAGCAGUAAGGAAUAUUGCACAAUGAGCGAAAGCUCGAUGCAGCAAGACUUGGUGAGGGAUUGAAGGCUUAGGUUGUAAACCUCUUUUUUAACUGAGGAUAAUGACAUUAGGUUAAGAAUAAGUCCCGACUAACUUCGUGCCAGCAGUCGCGGUAAUACGGAGGGGGCAAGCCUUAUUCGUCAUAACUGGGCGUAAAGGGCCCGUAGGUUGCUUUCUGGGAGGUUAUUUGUUAAAGACUGUAGCUUAACUAUAGAAAAGCAUUUAAAACAGGAAAGCUAGAGUCUGACAGAGGGAAAUGGAAUUUUUUAAUUAGGGUUAAAAUCCAAAGAAGUAAAAGAGAACAUCAGCUGCGAAGGCAAUUUCCUUGUUCAGUACUGACGCUGAGGGGCGAAGGCGUAGGUAGCGAACAGGAUUUGAGACCCUGGUAGUCUACGCUGUCAACGAUGAGUGCUAGUUUUUAGAAAUCUAGAAAAUAUAGCUAAGGCAUUAAGCACUCCGCCUGAGGAGUACGAGCGCAAGCUUAAAAAUCAACGGAAUUGGCGGGGGUUCAAACAAGUGGUGGAGCAUGUGGUUUAAUGCGAUAAUACGCGCGUAACCUUACCAGUCCUAGUAAGUCUGUCGUUCUUACGGAGACGUAAUGAAUUUUGAGGCUUUCAGGUGUUGC